rnacentral:rRNA from 1 species
AUGGCCGGCAACGAGGGUUUCGCCACCAAGCGCGUGCUGGGGCGGUGCACGGCCGAAGAGAUUUCCUCCAAUCCCGCGCAGCAGAAGUCAGCCAUCGACGGGUUCGGCACGCCGGAGCGAUGCGCCACCGAGCCUACGGCGUUAAACCGCGAGUAUGCUCUUCUGAAAAGGAAGGCCAAGGAGGCAGAUCAGGAUCAUGAUGAAGAGCAGGAGCAGGAAAAGGAGAUCAAUGAGAUUCUGGCCACGGCAAAACUCCCCAGACGCGCUGAUGUUGUGUCUGUGGCCGCCGCCGAGCCUAUGGUGGUCGACCCCUUCCUGGAGCAGGGCAUCGCUAAGGCAACGUUUUCUGGGCCUCAGGCUGACGCAGAGAUCGAGGAGCCUGUUUCUGAGCUUCAGGCUGAGGCGGAGAUUCAGGAGCCUGUUUCUGAGCCUCAGGCUGAGGCUGGGGAACAGGAUGUUUAUGCUGAUGAGGAUGCCGAUCUUUAUUAUCAAGAUGAUGCUGACUAUGAUGGUUAUUAUGAUGAGGAUGAGGAUGACUAUGAGUCUGAAUAUGACGAUGAUGAUUAUGAAUCUGAAUACGAGGAUGAUCAUGAUUAUGACUGGGAGUCUGAAUUUGCGAAGCACCGGCCAGUGGUCAGGGAGACGUUGUUAAACUUUCCCGAGGCCGCCAAUCUGGAACCUCAAGAGCUGGAUGCCGCGGUGGAGAGGGUCCUCGAGCAGUCCAAGCCCGAGUACAGGGACGUGGCCGCCCCAGGCAAGGUUCGUCUGCUGAAAAACGACAUAAGGCUGAUCUUGGCCGACAAGUGGGAGCCCCCCAACAUCCACAUCCUUCCGUCCACAAUAUCCCCCGCUGAUAUGAUCAAGAGAAGCGAGGAGCUGGACAAGGAGCUGCCGCCGGGGAACGACAAGGAGGCCGAUGACAGGUUUGGAGAGUUGCAGGCCAAGGUCCGCAAGGAUCUGAUCGAGAAGGGGUACGCCGAGGUUGACGAAGACUACUAUGACAACAGUGGCAAAUUUUGGGAGGAGCUGAGGGAAGAGUGGAACAAGAUUGACUUCAGCCGCUUCCGCUUCGCCAGCAGCGAGGACGGGAUCCUCCGUUAUUCCGAAGAACUUGGGGAUUUUAUAUGA